GUCAGCCACGGAGUUGAGGGUGGGGGUUUGAGUGGGUCAGGCGCUUACAGCUUUGGAGGCGCCUAUGGGCCAGUUUCAGAGGACCUGCAAAUGACUUCCAGAGUCUUUUCCUCGUGGAGUUGGUGAAGCACUAAGAUCUACCGCCUUGGUGACUGUGCUCCUAGCUUCUCUCAAGUUGUGUGGAUCAUCUCAGUAUCCUGGCUUGAGGGAUCUUUUGCUCCAAUGACCUGCUGUGGUGGACUCCCGGACCUCCCACAAAGCAGGUUCCUGUGAUGGCCCUGGGGAAGACGUGCCCCUAGAGGGUGGAGGGGACCAUGGCCGUCAUAGCACCUGUUCCAGUGUAACCUCACAUUGGUACAUGGGCCUGUCCAUAAGAACAUCAAUCUUGUAUUGAAACAGUUUGUUUUCAAAACCUACGUUAUGGUUUUUGCUGGCAAUGAACAAGGCUAAAUGAUAUACAGUUCCCAGACUGCUCCUCUUCUUUGUGAUGAAAAGGGCUGCAAAAUAAGAUUUUAAGUAUUUACAAUCAUCUAAUAAAAUGCUUCAUGAGUAUUUAUGAGGUACUUCUUUAACUGGAUAAAUUGUAAUAUUAAUCAAAAUCAAGACUACUACUUGGAGUUCUUCCAAGAACCCAGAUUAUAGACGAAGCUUUUCAGGUAUUUCUCAAUUCAUUAAGUUUCAGUUAAGUUGUUUAUCCCAUUCUUUCUGCAUGUGCAAGAAUGCAGUUAUUUGACAGGAAGUCAAACAAUCCCAGUACGAAUAGCUGUUUGCUGGUUUAUUAGCUAAAUCAUGAUGACUUAGGAUAUUGUUAAUAUUAAAUAAAAUGCCUUCUAAGUGAAUAUGUAUGAAUGCAGUUUCAUUAUGUUGUGAUUUCUUCUCUGUUCUGUGAUUGAGACCCGGUGGGAGGCAAAUUCAUACAUCAAAAUUAAUCCUUUGCACAUCCUCUUUCCUUCCCCUCCUUCCUUUUACCACCUGGCCCCCUCUUGGGUGGGGUAGGGCUUGGGGCAUAGUGUUUUAUGAUAGUGACACAGACCAUGUUGGAGUUUAAUGGUUUGUGGACUUAGAAACAAAAAAGGGGCGCCUGGGUGGCACAGUCGGUUAAGCGUCCGACUUCAGC